rnacentral:rRNA from 1 species
UACGUAGGGGGGCUAGCGUUGUCCGGAAUCAUUGGGCGUAAAGCGCGCGUAGGCGGCCCGGUAAGUCCGCCGUGAAAGUCCAGGGCUCAACCCUGGAAUGCCGGUGGAAACUGCCGGGCUGGAGUCCGGAAGAGGCGAGUGGAAUUCCUGGUGUAGCGGUGAAAUGCGCAGAUAUCAGGAGGAACACCAAUGGCGAAGGCAGCUCGCUGGGACGGUACUGACGCUGAGACGCGAAAGCGUGGGGAGCAAACAGG